UUCAUUUCCGCCACCGAUCCAACAUGGCGCCGUAGAGACGUUGUUAUUGUUCUUACUGCUCAUUCAAGCCUUGGUUUUAUCUCCAGCUUAUACACGGAAACGGCCUUAAAGAGAUCGGCGUGGGCAUGAGAGGAAUAUCAGGAGAUAAUGCUGAGAUCAACCGGCUUCUUUCGUGGGCUUGACUGUCCAUUUUACACGGAAUCCACAGAGGGCAAAGACAGCGGGUGCAACAGACCUUACUGUCACUUCAGGCACAGCCAGCAGAGACGGCUUUCCUACGUAGCAGCAGCCGACAGUAAAAAGCACCAUAUCGGCCAAAAAGAGCAAGGCUAUGACCCGUUCAAACCAGAAGUUGUGAGGCCCCGAGAGCUGCAGAAUGGAGUACCAACCCCCUCGGGAGACAUCAGCGGUGCUCUGGAGCUGGUCAACAAGGCCAUCGAGGAGGUCAGCAAUGAGGUGGAGCGGGAGAAGAGGAAGCUGUCGAGGAUCGGGGACGAACCUUAUGAUCCCAGCGGAAGAAGCGUGUCUUCCUCGGAUGCGGCUAAAGGUCAAACGUCGGCCGCGGCAGCCGGCACCCACUUGGCCUACGAUCCCGGGUGUUACCAGAUGACGUCAGGGGGCUAUAACCCCAAUCCGAGUUGCAGCAAGUACACUCUGGAUUUGGACAGUCGGGCUAGCAAUAGCAACUCCAUGGAGUACGUACCUACGUCUUUAAAAAAGAAUCCACCUCGAAUACAAACGCCCUCUCCUCCGUCAAGUCCGAAAUAUUCCAGGACAUCCUCGACAUGUAAAUACACAGUAGACACUUCCAGACCGUCGACAGACAUGGAAUACGACCCGCUUUCCAACUAUGCUGCAGGAAUAGCGGGAAAAACGAAAAGAGACAACCGUGAUGUUUCGGCGGAGGGCAGAAAAACACACAACCUCAAAGCGUCACCUGACACUUUUAUCGCAACUGGGAAAAAAACACAGCAGCAGACUGUGAACGCAAACAAGUACGUGUUCUCCGAAUCGGACGGGGAGAGCUCGGGAACUGAAUACAGACCCACUUCGCUUAGUAGUCUCCAGCAUAGGCGAGGCAAGACUUUAACUCUGAUUGGAGCCAAUUCGGGUAAAGAGAGAACCGAGAGUACACUAAAAGCAUUGGGGCAGAGAAACGAACAGGAAGUUCCCAAAGAUGAUCAGCUACAAAAAAAGACCAGCCCAAAUAAUAAUAAUAAUAAUAAAAAGAACUCAGUCGGUCAAAGCAAUCACAUAAAAAGUGAAAAAAUGGGCCAAAGCUCUAUUAUUAGUAAGAGCAGCAACAAGAAUAAGAAAGAGUCACGGAAGAACUCGCACCAGGACUCGACAAAAAAGGAGAAUAAAAGUCACGGGAAAAGUAACGAUGGAAAGAAGGUGAAGGCGUCUGAUGAAGCUAACAGGGAACACAAGAGACGCGACGGAAAGAUGAAACCAAACUUAAGCAAACGAGAUAAAGCCACGGAAAACGGUUCGGCGGAAAGCAAGAAGUCCAAGGAGAAGCAACCCAAAAACAAAGCGGACAUCAGCAAAAGAGACAAGGAUGGAAAGAAACUUCACAAAAGCAGCAGUUCGAGCGCCGCCGCUAAGAGCGCAGCUAGCGGCAAAGACAAAACCAAAAACGGCAAAAGGCCCAAGUCGAAACAAAGAACCGCGAGUCUCAGUCACGCCGAUCUGUUCGGCGACGAGAGCGCCGAGGAGGCCCAACCGAUGGAGGUGGAUGGCGGCGGCGACGAGGAGCCGGAGGAAAUUCUCGUGAGGAAAUGCGCCGACGCUUUAAAAAGGGGGCGGAGACUGCAUAAGAGGAAAGCGUCAGAGCUGACGCCGUCUUCCUCUGAGGAUGAGGAUAAUGGCGCUACGGAGGAGAGCGGUGCGGAUAAAGACCUUGUUGCCGGAAUAGACCUGUCAAUCUUCCAGGAUGAUUUGGACUUUGACUCGGAUCCGAUGGAGGAGUGUUUACGGAUCUUCAACGAAUCCAAGGAUGUGAAGAAGGAAGACAAGGGAAGGCAAACUAAGCAGCCUUCAAGAGAUUUAGAAGAGGAGAAGAACACCGAGAGCACUUUAACCACUCUCUUCCCCGGUCAGAAGAAGAGAAUUUCACACUUUGUUGCCAAAGGAACUAGCGAUGCACCUUCAAAGAACGCGGUUCGGCCGUACCGGAGACCCACACCUCAGGAGGUUUGCUAUCAGCGCAUGCAGAUGGCGCAGGAACAAGCCGCCCAGUUCUCCGCCACCAUCAAAGCCGCCUCACAAAGCUCUUCCAGCACUGGCUCUUCAGGAGGCAAGAAGAGGAUCGCACACCGUCCCAAUCCGCUGUUAAUGUCCUCCAACGCAAGUUCUUCAGAACCGAAACCAGCCGGCAGCCUGCUUGUUCGGACCCAAACCACAGCCGGUAUCCUGUCAAAGACGACAUCCACCAUUGCACAAAAAAGAGUGGCUCACACACCCACCAUGAAGAGUGUUUCAAUGAAGCGUCCCAUCAUCCCCAUUGAGUUUGGGACCAAAGUGCCGACCAUCGUUCGCCAGCGCUACCUCAACUUUUUCAUCGACGAGUGCGUCAAGUUCUGCCCAUCGGAGGACGUUGCCUUCCAGAUGGGCCUUGAUGAGGAGAAGGUGGUGUAUGACCGCAGCAACACGAAGAACAUAUAUCUCAACGUCGCUGUCAACACGCUGAAAAAGCUGCGCAACAAGAGCAGCUCAUGCGCCUCGCAUGUCAUCAAGGAGGCGGGCUUACCUCCUUCCAGGAAAUCACAGUCUCAUGAGGAUGUACUGGGAGGUCGCCUUGCAGCUACGACGAGUUUCACUGUCAACAGGAUGGGGAAACAGCGAGAAGAGAAGCUAAAUGGAGCUGCACUCUACAGAAAGCUGAAACCAUACCUGAUGACAGAGGAGCAGCUACAGGAACACGGAUAUCCUCGGAUGAACACCGGCGCUGUCGGAAAAGCGAUCAUAUAUAACCUUCCAGAGAAGAAGACCGUCACUGACCCCUUUUCCAAGAUAUGCUGCAGAUGCGGUGCCGAGUAUAAAAUCAACUCCAGCGGUAACUGCGUCCGCAAAGAGGAAUGUGGUUUUCACUGGGGACGUUUGCACAGACAGAAAGUGGCAGGAGGCUGGGAGACCAUCUACAACUGCUGCUCCGGGGCGGUGGGCUCUCCAGGGUGCCAGACGGCCAAGCAACAUGUUCAGGAUGGCCGUAAGGAGUCAUUAGGCGGCUAUGUGACCACAUUCAGCAAACCUCUGCCUCCAGACGGCAAUGGAGGAGUAUACGCCUUAGAUUGUGAAAUGUGUUACACCAAGCAGGGCCUGGAGCUCACCAGAGUCACGGUCAUAAACUCCGACUUAAAAGUCAUCUACGACACGUUUGUCAAGCCUGAGAACAAAGUGGUCGACUUCAACACGCGGUUUUCAGGCGUGACGGCAGAGGAUCUGGAGAACGCCACCAUCACCUUGAGAGACGUGCAAGCUGUGCUGCUCAGUAUGUUCAGUGCCGAGUCCAUCCUGCUGGGACACAGUCUAGAGAGUGACCUUGUGGCUCUCAAGCUCAUCCACAGUUCGGUGGUAGACACAGCCAUUGUGUUCCCUCACCGACUUGGUUUACCCUACAAACGUGCCUUGAGGAACCUAAUGGCCGACCACCUUAAACGCAUCAUCCAGGACAGCGUGGAGGGCCACAACUCCAGCGAAGAUGCCUCGGCUUGCAUGGAACUGAUGAUGUGGAAGCUGAAGGAGGACGCCAAGGUCAGGAGAUGACCUCACGCCGCUCCUUCGGGCCUCGCAGCACGCCUUGGAAGGAUAUUAUACAGAGUAAAAAGUAAGGUUUUGAGAUGGUUUCCACGCAGUUUUGAGCACAAGAAGGCCCCCGGAAGCAGCAGAAAACUGUUUUUGCUUCCUGAAUGUGAGAACGUGAGCCCUGAUUAUUAGUAUUACUAUGAUUGAUAUUUCAGUCCUCGAUUGUUUGUUAGUUUCUUUGAGCAGUUUUUUAAUGCCCAGGGGGGUUUCUAACAGCAAAGAUUUCUGACAGACUGUAACUUUAUGCUACAUUGCACUAGAGGACUGGUCCUCAUUUGUGUUAACGUACCUAAACUUCUCACUUGUGUGCAUCGCUUUCUUUAGUCUAUUGUACGUUACUAUGAAAAGGCACUUUUCACGACGCUUGUACAGGGGCUCUUAUUUACCAAUUUUGUCGGGAUCGGUUCCGAAUACUUGAUAACGGUAACAAAAUUUUGACACCCUAUUGCUGUACUUUUUGAGUACCGGGCCAUAUAUCUGUCAUGUGCGCUGCAUGAAAAGGAAUAUGUCGAAAAUAUACAUACAGUAAACCUCGGAUAUAUCGGACUCGGAUAUAUCGGAAAUUCGCUCACAACGGACAGAUAAAAAAGAACCGAUUUUUCUGUAAUGCAUUUCCAAUAAAAAUUCAUUGCAUAUAUUGGAUUUAUUAUAACGGAUUUCGCUUAUUUCGGACAAAAUCUCCAGUCUCGUUCCAAUGCAUUUCCAUUAAAUUUCCCUCGCAUAUAUCGGAUGGCCGCAUCGUGGCGCUCCGAUUCGCCGAAUCGUGACAGGCCGCUAUACGACGUCAUUUGCAGCGUUGCCUGCGCGUCCAGGUACAUUGGAAACAUAGUCAAGGAAGUGCCUUUUUAUAACGGAUAAAAUCCGAUUUACGCAUAUACCGGAUAUAAAUCCGAUAUAUGCAUAAAACGGACAUUUUCCGGUAUACGCAUAUAACGGAUUUCGCUUAUAUCGGACAAAACCAGUGGGAACAAUUGAAUCCGAUAUAUCAGAGGUUUACUGUAUAUAUAUAUAUAUAUAUAUAUAUGACGGUGUUAAGUUGAAUCAGGCCUGCGUUAUUUUAUGUUUAUCAUGACCAGACAGGACGCCGUAAAUAUGCUCUGUUGCAGUUUCUUUUUGUAUUUGUUUAUUCAUUUUUUUGGUUGUGUAUUAUUUUUUUUUCUAUUAAAAUGUGAUUUAGUAAGAGAAGGAGGAGGACAACGAUAAUGAUGAUGGCGUCUUAUUGCAGUUAUAAGAGUUUGUGACAGCUCUCCCUCCAAGUACAGUGCGGAGCAUCCACCCGGAGAGUGCGUCCCCGCAAGCAGCAGGUGCAGCGGCGGCUGCGGGACCUCCCUUUUCUCCAGCAGAUGUGAUAAGUGAGGAUAAACGGGAGUGAAAGGCUAAACUGAGAGGCCCAUCCUUUUGCCUAUUAAGCUCCUCACGUCUCCUCACGUCGCAUGUCAAGGAUGCAUUUCCCCCUAGGCCGGGCCCAAAAGACCCCAGACAACGUGUUACACAACAUACCUGUCAACUCUCCUUCAAUGUGCUGUCAUGGUGGAAAAAAUGGCGUGGAUCCUGUAGCAGCCUUUUUUUAGACGUCGGCCUUGCUGCUCUUCAGUCUGCAGACGGAAGUCCCAAAAAAAGGUAACACAUUAUAGCAGGGGUCUCAAACACGCGGCCCGCGGGCCAAAUGUGGCGCGCAGGACACUAGUUUGAGGCCCCCGCCUUGAUAUGAAAGUUUAAUGUUAGUGCGGCCCGCGCAAGUUUGAUAUGGAUGCUGUAUGGUAUCAUGUACCCAGAAAAAAAUUAUUACGUUUGAUUAAUGUUCAU